rnacentral:rRNA from 1 species
AACCUUCGGGGAACGAUACGGCGUCAGCGGCGGACGGGUGAGUAAUGCCUAGGAAUUGCCCUGAUGUGGGGGAUAACCAUUGGAAACGAUGGCUAAACCGCAGAUGCCUACGGGCCAAAGAGGGGGACCUUCGGGCCUCUCGCGUCAGGAUAUGCCUAGGUGGGAUUAACUAGUUUGGUGAGGGAAGGGCUCACCAAGGCGACGAGUUCCCUAGCUGGUCUGAGAGGAGUGAUCCAGCCACACUGGAAAUGAGAACACGGUUCCAGACUCCUACGGGGAGGCACCAGUGGGGAAUAUUGCCACAAUGGGCGCAAGCCUGAUGCAGCCAUCCCGCGUGUGUGAAGAAGGCCUUCGGGUUGUAAAGCACUUUCAGUUCGUGAGGAAGGUAGUGUAGUUAAUAGCUGCAUUAUUUGACGUUAGCGACAGAAGAAGCACCGGCUAACUCCGUGCCAGCAGCCGCGGUAAUACGGAGGGUGCGAGCGUUAAUCGGAAUUACUGGGCGUAAAGCGCAUGCAGGUGGUUUGUUAAGUCAGAUGUGAAAGCCCGGGGCUCAACCUCGGAAUAGCAUUUGAAACUGGCAGACUAGAGUACUGUAGAGGGGGGUAGAAUUUCAGGUGUAGCGGUGAAAUGCGUAGAGAUCUGAAGGAAUACCGGUGGCGAAGGCGGCCCCCCGGACAGAUACUGACACUCAGAUGCGAAAGCGUGGGGAGCAAACAGGAUUAGAUACCCUGGUAGUCCACGCCGUAAACGAUGUCUACUUGGGAGGUUGUGGCCUUGAGCCGUGGCUUUCGGAGCUAACGCGUUAAGUAGACCGCCUGGGGAGUACGGUCGCAAGAUUAAAACUCAAAUGAAUUGACGGGGGCCCGCACAAGCGGUGGAGCAUGUGGUUUAAUUCGAUGCAACGCGAAGAACCUUACCUACUCUUGACAUCCAGAGAACUUUCCAGAGAUGGAUUGGUGCCUUCGGGAACUCUGAGACACGUGCUGCAUGGCGUGUCGUCACCUCCGUGUUGUGAAAAGGUGGGGGUAAAUCCCCGCAACAAGCGCAACCCUUAUCCUUGUUUGCCAGCCAAGAAAGGUCGGGAACUCCACGGGAGAAGGGCCGGGGAGAAACCCAAGGAAAGGGGGGGACGGACGCCAAGUCAUCACCGGGCCGCCCACAAGUAAAGGGCGGACACACGUGCUACAAUGGCGCAGGACAGAGGGCGGCCAACCCCCGCAAAGGGAGCGAACCCCCAAAAACUGCGUCGUAGUCCGGAUUGGAGUCUGCAACUCGACUCCAUGAAGUCGG